rnacentral:rRNA from 1 species
GACGAACGCUGGCGGCGUGCUUAACACAUGCAAGUCGAACGGAAAGGCCCUGCUUUUGUGGGGUGCUCGAGUGGCGAACGGGUGAGUAACACGUGAGUAACCUGCCCUUGACUUUGGGAUAACUUCAGGAAACUGGGGCUAAUACCGGAUAGGAGCUCCUGCUGCAUGGUGGGGGUUGGAAAGUUUCGGCGGUUGGGGAUGGACUCGCGGCUUAUCAGCUUGUUGGUGGGGUAGUGGCUUACCAAGGCUUUGACGGGUAGCCGUCCUGAGAGGGUGACCGGCCACAUUGGGACUGAGAUACGGCACAGAAUCCUACGGGAGGCAGCAGUGGGGAAUAUUGCACAAUGGGCGGAAGCCUGAUGCAGCAACGCCGCGUGCGGGAUGACGGCCUUCGGGUUGUAAACCGCUUUCGCCUGUGACGAAGCGUGAGUGACGGUAAUGGGUAAAGAAGCACCGGCUAACUACGUG